rnacentral:tRNA from 1 species
GGGGAUGUAGCUCAGUGGCAGAGUGCUCACCUAGGAUGUGUGAGUCCCUAGGUUCAAGUCCCACUAUUACCA